CGGGCGUCGUGCGCAGUCGGGCCGGACGCCCGCUGGUGUGGGGGUCAGAGAAAAUUCCCUUUUGAACGGUCGCAGGCGACCUUUGCCCAGUCGUGGCGGCCGGCCUUGGGGUCGCAGGGCCGUGGCGGGCAGGGAGCCAGGUUGGCUGCAGGCACGGCGGGGGCGCUCGCUCCCCGCCUUUUCCCUGUCUCGUUCCCUCCCCCGCGCUCCAGAGCUCCUGACCCCAAAAGGGAGCCGUGAUUCCCAGCAGGAGAGUGACCACUGGCUGGUACAGCAUAUGCAGAACCAGGGCCACACAGAGCAGCAUGGUCAUGAGCAGGCCCCCAAGGACCGCCUCAGCUGUUCUGAACCAAUGCAGGUUGCCAGGACGCAGAUGGCUUCAUGGACCAAACAACACUAGUGAGCAUCUUCAUGAACCAGCCCAUGCCUGGUCACUGUGAAGUUGGGACACAUGAGCUGGCAGAGAUGAACGCUUUCUGCAGUGGACAGCAAUACAGAGAUGGCUAAACGGGCGUUCCUAAAGCCCUGUACUCUGCCGACCAGGUGAUAAACUUCUAAUUCCUGUUCUGAAGCAGCUGCCUGCAAGUUGGAGCUGGAGAAUUUCAGUCAACUUGGCAUUUUGUUCCUUAUCUUUCUACCUCUGUGAGAUCCUGGCUGUCUGCCCCUUGGGGAACAUCAUGAUCCCUUGGACUGGUGGAUGACUGGAGCAAACCUGAGGGGCUUCUAGAAGAAGCUGUCUCUGCUUUCUGAAGCUAACGCCAUGGAGGAGUAUCUCCCUUCCUUUUAAAUAUUAAAUAUUUAAGGUUUGCCAUAUAUAAAUAGACUUUAUUAACAGACUGCCUUUUGAUAUUGAAGAUUAAAGUGCUUAUGAAGUUUGUGGAAGUGUGUGAGUUCACUGGGGACGGUGGAGAAGAGGGUAGGUGGCGGUGGCUAUCAGGUGUUAGAAAGCUUAGCAAACAUACAAGUUUAAGGUGGUCAGGAGAACUUUCUUUAUGGGUCUCCCAGAUCUAAGCCAGGGAACUUUUAUCAGUUCAGUUCAGUCGCUCAGUUGUGUCCACCUCUUUGCGACCCCAUGGACUACAGCACACCAGGCCUCCCUGUCCAUCAUCAACUCCCAGAACUUACUCAAAUUCAUGUCCAUCACGUUGGUGGUGCCAUCCAACCACCUCAUCCUCUGUCGUCCCCUUCUCCUCCUGCCUUCAAUCUUGCAUCAGGGUCUUUUCCAAUGAGUCAGUUCUUCACAUCAGGUGAACAAAGUACUGGAGUUUCAGCUUCAGCAUCAGUCUUUCCAGUGAAUAUUCAGGGCUGAUUUUCUUUAGGAUUGACUGGUUUGAUCUCCUUGCAGUCCAAGGGACUCUCAAGAGUCUUCUCCAACACUGCAGUUCAAAAGCAUCAAUUCUUCAGCACUCAGCUUUCUUUAUAGUCCAACUCUCACAUCCAUACGUGACUACUGGAAAAAACAUAGCUUUAACUAGACUGACCUUUGUUGGUAAAGUAAUGUCUCUGCUUU
ensembl:lncRNA